GACUUUCACCUUAACUUUGGACAGCCCUCGUUCUCUCAAUCCCCACAAAGGAGAAGGGAUGGUAGUGUUAACGGGGAGAAGAAGAAGAAGCAACAAUGGUGAAAACUCUCUCCAUAUUUUUCCAAAACCGGCUUCUCCUCAUCUCUCGGCCAUCUCUCACUCUCGGCCUUCUCUCCCUCAACUCACACACAACCACACACCAUACAUUCACGGUUGUAGAAGAGAUGGAUAUAUAUUGCAUAGGUUAG
rnacentral:lncRNA from 1 species